GGCCGUAGGGCAAGUCCAUUUAAAGUGAGGCAAUUUGCCGAGCGGAGCGAGGCGAAAAAUUUUUUAGCCUUUUUUUUAGGGUGGUUCGGGUGCCUGAAACGGGAGAAGCUUAUUCCAGCAUUACCAUCUAUAAUAAAAAAUAAAAAAAAUAUAACAGAAAUGCGUUUUUUUUAUUAACUAGCCUAGUAAGUAACAAAUCAAGUUUCAAUAUUAAAGUUAAUCUCUGUUGGUCAACUAAAACUUUCCGAUUCUCCUGUGACCUGUACUAUCGAAAAGC
rnacentral:lncRNA from 1 species